CUGUUGACACUGCCACCUCUGUUGAAUUCUGUGCAAGUCUUAUUAUGUGAUUUUUUUAACCCUUAGAUGGCUGUGGAAUUAUAUUUAGACCGUCCAAAAUUCAGUCAGUCAGUUUUGUAUGGCAGAAAUAUAACAACACUUCCAGACUGCGGUAGAAUCCAUAUAUAGACGAUAGUUAAAACAUCUAUUAUGCGGCGUAACUAUAUUUGUGCUACGGUCCUAAAGUUGGCAGUGACUAUAUAUGGACGAUUAAUUUGGGGGGGAGCUACUCUCCAAAUACUACAGCCGCUUAAGGGUUAAUGUUUGGUCCAAGUGAACAGAACAUGUGACGAAACAGGAUAGGUAGUGUUGGUAAGGAAGGAUGAACCGAAAGUAUGUUAUGGAUGUGAGAGCAAGAUGUGUAUUAGGAUGAGUGAGUUUGAGUAAUGCAGAGGUGUACAGGAAUUUAGAGGAGAAUGAAGAGGAGGAGGAGGAGGAGGAGGAGGAGAGGUGGUGAAAGGAUGAUUAAAGAGAUGGUCAGGAAAUGUGUUGAAGUAAGAGCAAGAUGUGUAUUAGGAUAAGUGUGGAUAAUGAAGAAGUGUACAGAAAAUGUGUUAUAGAUAAGAAAGCAAGAUGUGUAUUGGGGUGAGUGUGAGUAAUGCAGAGGUGUACAGAAAAUGUAUUGUAGAUGGGAAAGCAAGAUGUGUAUUGGGGUGAGUGAGUGUGAGUAUCGCAGAGGUGUACAGAAAAUGUGUUAUAGAUAAGAAAGCAAGAUGUGUAUUGGGGUGAGUGUGAGUAAUGCAGAGGUGUACAGAAAAUGUGUUAUAGAUAAGAAAGCAAGAUGUGUAGUGGGAUGACAGGAUGUGACCAAUGAAGAUGCUGUGUGGAUGUGAGAGCAAGGUAUGUAGAAUGCAGGAUGGUGUGACUGGUCAAACAAAAUUCAUUGGGGUGGUUUAGACAUGUGGGAAUGAAGAAUGGUUAUGAAAGUAGUGUAAUAAGAGGUUAGGGGUGGUUGUUGAUGGCUAUGGAUUGCUUAGAAAAACAUGAAUACAGGAGGUAAGAGAGAGGUGUGAAAGAGAGGUAAGAGGGAGGUGUGAAAGAGAGAGACACAAAUAAAGAGAGGUAAGAGGGAGGUGUGAAAGAGAGAGACACAAAUAAAGAGAGGUAAGAGGGAGGUGUGAAAGAGAGAGACACAAAUAAAGAGAGGUAAGAGGGAGGUGUGAAAGAGAGAGACACAAAUAAAGAGAGGUAAGAGGGAGGUGUGAAAGAGAGAGACACAAAUAAAGAGAGGUAAGAGGGAGGUGUGAAAGAGAGAGACACAAAUAAAGAGAGGUAAGAGGGAGGUGUGAAAGAGAGAGACACAAAUAAAGAGAGGUAAGAGGGAGAUGUGGAUACUGCCAAAAAAGUGUAUGAGUAACAUCAGAGAGGGAAAAGUGCGAAUGUGGAGAAUGUUUGGGAAAGUCCUUUGUCUGGCAGCGGACUCGUAGUGGUUUCUUGCAGACUCCUUACGUUCUUAUGUUCUUAAUAAUAAUAAUGUUACG